rnacentral:tRNA from 1 species
GGGCGAGUGGCGGAACAGGCAGACGCACAGGACUUAAAAUCCUGUGGGAUUUUAUCCCGUGCGGGUUCGAGUCCCGCCUCGCCCA